rnacentral:rRNA from 1 species
UGGGUAACCUGCCUCAAAGAGGGGAAUAGCCUCCCGAAAGGGAGAUUAAUACCGCAUAAUAUGUUUAGGUCGCAUGACUUUAACAUCAAAGGAUUUUCUUUUAGAAAUUCCACUUUGAGAUGGACCCGCGGCGCAUUAGCUAGUUGGUGAGGUAACGGCACACCAAGGCAACGAUGCGUAGCCGACCUGAGAGGGUGAUCGGCCACAUUGGAACUGAGACACGGUCCAGACUCCGUAGGGAG